GAUGAACGCUGGCGGCGUGCCUAAUACAUGCAAGUCGAGCGAACAGAUGAGGAGCUUGCUCCUCUGACGUUAGCGGCGGACGGGUGAGUAACACGUGGAUAACCUACCUAUAAGACUGGGAUAACUUCGGGAAACCGGAGCUAAUACCGGAUAAUAUAUUGAACCGCAUGGUUCAAUAGUGAAAGACGGUUUUGCUGUCACUUAUAGAUGGAUCCGCGCCGCAUUAGCUAGUUGGUAAGGUAACGGCUUACCAAGGCAACGAUGCGUAGCCGAACUGAGAGAGUGAUCGGCCACACUGGAACUGAGACACGGUCCAGACUCCUACGGGAGGCAGCAGUAGGGAAUCUUCCGCAAUGGGCGAAAGCCUGACGGAGCAACGCCGCGUGAGUGAUGAAGGUCUUCGGAUCGUAAAACUCUGUUAUUAGGGAAGAACAAAUGUGUAAGUAACUAUGCACGUCUUGACGGUACCUAAUCAGAAAGCCACGGCUAACUACGUG
rnacentral:rRNA from 1 species